rnacentral:tRNA from 1 species
GGAGGCUUCGCCUAGUCUGGUCUAUGGCGCCGCACUGCUAAUGCGGUUGGGGGAAACCCCUCCCGGGUUCAAAUCCCGGAGCCUCCG